UCUGCCCCUUCCUCUGAGGGUGCCGCUACUCGCUUCUCCCUCCCUCCCAGUGCUUUCAUGCAGCAAGCCUGGGAGAAAGGCGGAAGGAGGGAAGCGUGGCGCACUUGGGGGAGGAGGCGGCGGG